rnacentral:rRNA from 1 species
UGGUGGAGUGAUUUGUCUGGUUAAUUCCGUGAACGAAGCGAGAGAUCGACCUGCUAAAUAGUUGGAGUUACUUCGGUAGCUCUAAACACAUUCUUAGAGGGACUAUCGGUUUCUAUCCGAAGGAAGAUCGAGGCAAUAACA